rnacentral:lncRNA from 1 species
AUAUGCAGACGACAGACAUGCGGUGCAGACGAGAUCUGGGUUGAACGCGCGAAAUUGUUUUGUUUUAUUUCUGCAUUUUACGCUUUUUGUUUUGUAUUUCUUUUUUUCUACUAGAAUGCUGGGGUAUGUGUACUUGAAGAAAAAAAGACGCAGACGGACACGACAUGGAGAUGCAGACCAAGCAAAAUGUGCGUUUCUCUUUAUGAUGAACAGGUAUGUAUAUUGCUACUUAUGUUAUCCUUUUUUGUAUGCAUUUUAUCAACUUUUUGUCUGAUGUUUACAAGCACGUGUGAAUAUAUCAUGUUGUAGACAAUGCAAUGGUUUAGUGGAUGGUGCAGCGCUGGUACAUGAUAUUGACUAUACAAGCACGUGCGUGGAUGUCAUGUUGUAGAUUUCACAGUGGUUAAGUCGGUGCUGCAACUUGAUCCUUUUUCUAAGGAAUGUGCAUUCAACUUAUGGCUAUGGUGAAAGAAAAGCUCGAAGUAUCGGACAAGAAACUCCAAACUAUUCGAUAAGAAACUCAGGCUAUCAGACGAGGAACCCGAAAUGUCCGACAAGAAGCAGUUUCCCGUACCAUACACGAAGAAAAAUUUAGUUGAUGGAACUACGGUUGUCGUGGAAUUGCCUUGCUGGUACUAAAAAGAUGCCGAUAACCAGAGGGGCACUGGUAACCAAUCGAUGUCGCUAAUCAGAGGUGUUCUGGGUCCCUUAUGUCAACAUAGUAAUCAACUGUUCUCGACAAGCAGACGACACUUGCUGCUUCUACCAGAUGAAGCAAGUGGCGGAAGAAGGGACCCGAUGCCUGGAGUAACUUUGCAGUAUAAAAUUUUGCACUGUUCGAAUGGUCAAGAUAGAGUGGUUUUAGUGGAAUUCAGCCCUUGAUGGACAUAUCGUCUGUAUUUGCCCUGUCCUGCUGAUGGUAGAGAGCUCUUCCACACCUCGUGCACAGAUCAGAAUCCGCGAGGUAGGCGACGAAUUUAU